rnacentral:rRNA from 1 species
GACGAACGCUGGCGGCGUGCUUAACACAUGCAAGUCGAACGAAGAGCGACGGAAGCUUGCUUCUAUCAAUCUUAGUGGCGAACGGGUGAGUAACGCGUAAUCAACCUGCCCUUCAGAGGGGGACAACAGUUGGAAACGACUGCUAAUACCGCAUACGAUCUAACCUCGGCAUCGAGGAUAGAUGAAAGGUGGCCUCUACAUGUAAGCUAUCACUGAAGGAGGGGAUUGCGUCUGAUUAGCUAGUUGGAGGGGUAACGGCCCACCAAGGCGAUGAUCGGUAGCCGGUCUGAGAGGAUGAACGGCCACAUUGGGACUGAGACACGGCCCAGACUCCUACGGGAGGCAGCAGUGGGGAAUCUUCCGCAAUGGACGAAAGUCUGACGGAGCAACGCCGCGUGAGUGAUGACGGCCUUCGGGUUGUAAAGCUCUGUUAAUCGGGACGAAAGGCCUUCUUGCGAAUAGUGAGAAGGAUUGACGGUACCGGAAGAGAAAGCCACGGCUAACUACGUG